rnacentral:hammerhead_ribozyme from 1 species
AUGCGAAACCGCGCCCCAGUUAUGGGGCCGGUCUGCCCGAUGUGGUGAUCGGGUACUGAUGAGCAGCCUGGA